GGGGGGUUGGGGACCCCCAAGUGGCGUUGGGGACCCAUAAGUGACAUUGGGGACCCAUAAGUGACAGUGGGGAAGAUUGGGGACCCAUAAGUGACAGUGGGGGACAAUGGGGGACCCAUAAGUGACAUUGGGGACCCAUAAGUGACAGUGGGGGACAUUGGGGACCCAUAAGUGACAGUGGGGGGCAUUGGGGACCCAUAAGUGACAGUGGGGGGCAUUGGGGACCCCCAAGUGACAUUGGGGACCCAUAAGUGACACUGGGACCCCCAAGUGACAGUGGGGACCCAUAAGUGACACUGUGGGACAAUGGGGGACCCCCAAGUGGCAUUGGGGGACCCAUAGGUGACAUUGGGGGACCCCAAAGUGGCAUUGGGGGGCACUGGGGGACCCAUAAGUGACAUCAGGGACCCCCAAGUGACGUGGGGGGACGUGGGGGACCCAUAAGUGACAUCAGGGACCCAUAAGUGACACUGGGGUCUCCUAAGUGACAGUGGGGGACCCCCAAGUGACAUUGGGGACCCAUAAGUGACAUUGGGGGGGCAUUGGGGGACCCCUAAGUGACACUUGGGGACAAUGGGGGACAUUGGGGACCCAUAAGUGACAGUGGGGGACCCAUAAGUGACAUCGGGGACCCCAAGGGGACAUUGGGGACCCAUAAGUGACACCGGGGACCCCUAAGUGACACUGGGGACCCCUAAGUGACACUGGGGACCCAUAAGUGACACUGGGGGGCACUGGGGGACA
rnacentral:lncRNA from 1 species